UGGGUUUUUUAUGAUUUGACUCCCUAAUAAGAAUCCCACCCUGGUGACGCUAUCGUCGAUCUGCUCAGAUCAGAUGCACGGCCGACGGCGUUCUUCUGCACCCCUUACCCAUUUGGUGGGGACGGAAUCGGAUGCCUAUCCUCUUCACCCCGUUUUAGUCGCCUCCUUCGCUUCCGGCGUACCAUAGCAUACCACCUAGUACCGACUCCCACUUCCCAACCUUUGCUUUUGCUCCACCACCGACACUGAGGUCAUCACUAAUCAGAGUCAACAACAGCUCAUGAAGGAUUCCAUGGAGGAUCAGGGUGCGCACGCCACCACGCGGUCUCACAAUCGCCACCCAUCUUUACCUCACAGCAGCGGCGGCGGCGGUGGUCGCGAAGACUGUUGGAGCGAAGGAGCCACCGGAACCCUAAUUGAAGCUUGGGGCGACCGUUAUCUCCGGCUAAGCCGUGGCAAUCUCCGUCAGAAAGACUGGAAGGAGGUCGCUGAUUCUGUUAAUGGACGUCAGGGAGGCAUCAAGCCCCGUAAAACCGAUAUUCAAUGCAAGAACCGUAUCGACACCCUGAAGAAAAAAUAUAAGCUGGAGAAGUCUAAGCCUGGGUCCUCCAGAUGGCCAUUUUACUCUCGUCUCGAUAUGCUCGUAGGCACCAAUUCCACCUCCUCCAACCUCAACAAAAAGCAUACUCCACCGCUGCUGCCGCUACCUGCGCCGCCAUCGUUUCUUAAGCCUCCCUCGGUCUCCUUCACAAUCAAGCAUUGCAAGGAUAAGAAAAAACCUAACCCUAACCCUAAUACCUCCGUCUAUUCCGCUGGCUCUUCGUCAAAGUCGAGGCUCAACUCCGCUGACUCAUCUGAGAGCUCUCGUGGUGGUUUGGGAGACGAUCGAGAUGAGGGUAUGUUGUUCAAUGGUGGCCUUCGGAAGCAUCGGAGGAUAGAUAGAGAUUCUUCGACUGAUGCGGUUGCGAUUAGGGAAUUGGCCAGAGCGAUUCUUAAGUUCGGGGAGAUUUAUGAGAAGGUUGAGAAUUCUAAGCAGGAACAGAUGAUGGAGUUGGAGAGGCAGAGAAUGGAGUUCACCAAGGAUCUUGAGUUCCAAAGGAUGCAAAUGUUUAUGGAAGCUCAGCUUGAGCUCGAAAAGAUGAAGCGCCCCAAGCAUGCGUCUAUUUCAGAUUCUCUACUGUGUUCCUUUCUGCUUUCUCAACUUUAAACCCGAGAAGAAUGAUAAGAAGGGCUGCAAGUCUCCUUCUUAAGGUUGCAAUAAGCGUGCGGACCCAGGGAAGUUGUAGUUGGAGAUAGCUUGAGAUUGACCACCUUGGUAGGUGAGGAUGACAUGCCAGGCGACCAUUCAUGAGCAAUGUCUCUUGAGGUAGAUCUUAACCUGAAGGAUAGUACAUAGUGUCUGUGAAAUAUUAUCUGUAGUUUUUGAAUUAUUUGAGAUGACAUGCUUAUAUGAUAUACUUGUACAUGCGUCUUAAUUACCGUAGGGGAUCUCUUUUUCUCUGAUUUUGAGUAAGUUUUUUUUAUUGCUACUUUGUGUCAAUUUGUUGAUACAUCAAUGUCAAGCAUCUAAGUAGUGAUGUUGCGGGAACUUCUGGUCUUUCAAGUUGAUUUACUGACGGGAGUAUUAAGCUGGAUCAUGCAGCAUCUUGGUAACCAAAAAGCUACUCAUGGUCGUUUGCUUGGAAA